rnacentral:rRNA from 1 species
UACGGAGGGUGCAAGCGUUAUCCGGAUUCACUGGGUUUAAAGGGUGCGUAGGUGGGCUAGUAAGUCCGUGGUGAAAUCUCUGAGCUUAACUCGGAAACUGCCGUGGAUACUAUUAGUCUUGAAUCUCGUGGAGGUAAGCGGAAUAUGUCAUGUAGCGGUGAAAUGCUUAGAUAUGACAUAGAACACCAAUUGCGAAGGCAGCUGGCUACACGAAUAUUGACACUGAUGCACGAAAGCGUGGGGAUCAAACAGG